CUCAGUAACACGUGGAUAACCUGCCCUUAGGACUGGCAUAACCCCGGGAAACUGGGGAUAAUUCCGGAUAGUUCAUGGUAGCUGGAAUGCUCCAUGAUCGAAAGCUAUUGCGCCUAAGGAUGGGUCUGCGGUCUAUCAGGUAGUAGUGGGUGUAAUGUACCUACUAGCCGACGACGGAUACGGGUUGUGGGAGCAAGAGCCCGGAGAUGGAUUCUGAGACAUGAAUCCAGGCCCUACGGGGCGCAGCAGGCGCGAAAACUUUACAAUGCGGGAAACCGCGAUAAAGGGACACCGAGUGCCAGCAUCUUAUGUUGGCUGUCCGCAUGUAUAAAUCACAUGUGUUAGCAAGGGCCGGGCAAGACCGGUGCCAGCCGCCGCGGUAACACCGGCGGCCCGAGUGGUGGCCACUAUUAUUGGGUCUAAAGGGUCCGUAGCCGGUUUGGUCAGUCUUCCGGGAAAUCUGACGGCUUAACCGUUAGGCUUUCGGGGGAUACUACCAGGCUUGGGACCGGGAGAGGUAAGAGGUACUAC
rnacentral:rRNA from 1 species